GGGGGCUUCCUAGCUUCUUGGGGGGGGUUCCCCAAGAUCCUGGGUGACCCCACCAACGUUUGGGUGCGGAGACACCCCUUCCCUUUCCACGAACUGGCAGGCAGGCUGAGCACGUGUGCCCACCCCUUCACAUCAGCGGGACCCCCCAUCCCCCCCCCCCCCCCAAUAACAAACCCCAUUCCCACCCACCCACCCGUCCCCCCUUCCCCCAACCUGGCAGGCCGUCGGGGAGCAGCGUGGACAGCCUGCUGCGCCUGCGGGGCCGCCUGCUGCUGGACCACGAGGCUCUCUCCUGCCUCCUGGUGCUGCUCUUCGUGGACGAGCCCAAGCUGAACACCAGCCGGCUGCACCGCGUGCUGCGCAACCUCUGCUACCACGCUCCCACCAGGGGCUGGGUGGUGCGCAGCCUCCUCUCCAUCCUGCAGCGGAGCAGCGAGAGCGAGCUGUGCCUCGAAGCCCCCCGGGGGGCGGCCUCGCAGCCCCCGACGAGCGCCCGCAGCGCCGCCCCCACCCCGCGGCACCGCCGCCGCGCCUCCGCGCCGACCCCGACCCCGAGCGAAGCACCCAGGGCUCUGGAUUUGAUGCACCGCGUGGAAGCCCGCAGCUCCGGGCAGCUCUCGUGGCUCUCGGUGUCCAUGGAUGCGGCGUUGGGCUGUCGGACCAACAUCUUCCAGAUCCAGAGGGCUCCCGGAAGGAAACACACCGAGAAGCACGCCGCCGCCGCCGGCUCCGCCGUCCACAUCCACCCGCAGGCGGCCCCCGUCGUCUGCCGGCACGUGCUCGAUACGCUCAUCCAGCUGGCCAAGGUGGGGUGGGGGGGAUUUAGGGGCUCCUCAUGAGGGGUUUUGGGGGGCUCUGGGGCAGGUCCUGGGGGGCUUUGGGGGGCUCUGGAGCAUCUUAGGGGGCUCUGGGACGGGUCCUGGGGGGCUUUGGGGGCUCCACAUUAGGCCUUGGGGGGCUCUGGGGCAGGUCCUGGGGGGCUUUGGGGGGUCCCAAUCGGGUCCUGGGAGGCUUUGGGGGGCUCUGGAGCAUCUUAGGGGGCUCUGGGGCAGGUCCUGGGGGGCUUUAGGGGCUCCUCAUUAG
rnacentral:lncRNA from 7 species